rnacentral:rRNA from 1 species
UACGAAGGGGGGCUAGCGUUGCUCGGAAUUACUGGGCGUAAAGGGCGCGUAGGCGGCACUGUUAGUCAGGCGUGAAAGUCCUGGGCUCAACCUGGGAACUGCGCUUGAUACGGCAGAGCUAGAGGAUGGAAGAGGCUCGCGGAAUUCCCAGUGUAGAGGUGAAAUUCGUAGAUAUUGGGAAGAACACCGGUGGCGAAGGCGGCGAGCUGGUCCAUUACUGACGGCUGAGGCGCGACAGCGUGGGGGAGCAAACAGG